rnacentral:tRNA from 1 species
GCCUGGCUGGCUCAGUUGGUAGAGCGUGUGACUCUUGAUCUCGGGGUUGUGAGUUUGAGCCCCGUGUUGGGUG